GAGAAAAGCAAAAGAGCGGGAGACGGCGUAAACGGGCGGGAAAGGCUGAUCGCCGGGGACCUUCUCCUCUUGGGCGACGACGGAGCGCAGGGCGACGACGGAGGGGCAGUGCUGCUCGUGCUGCUAGCUCUGCUCUUCAAUCUUGCUCACGCUGCAAUCGUAAUAUGUUUUAUUGAGAUGGAUGAAGAGGCUAAUAGGAAAGAGGCUAACUCAGUGCAUCCUGAUUCUAAUGUUGAUGGCCUUCCGAGCUUGGUACUUCAUGUUGGCAUGGAAUUCAAAAAUCCAGAAGUGGCUUGGGCGUUUUGGCUUAGCUACGCUGGGCAAAGGGGGUUUGAGGUCAGAAAAAGGUAUACUAACAAGAGACCAUCCGAUGGCAAGGUUACGUCAUGUAGAUUUGUUUGUGCAAAUGAGGGUCAUCGAUUGAAAGACAAAAGAGAUCGUAUAAUAAAGUGCCCCCGAGCUGAAACUAGAACUGAUUGUCAAGUCCACAUGAGUCUUAAAAUGGACCGACAAAAUGGAAAAAUGAAAGUGAAUGAGCUGGUUUCGGAACA